GUCUCUUCAGGGACUAUCUCUCUGGACGCAUCUUGUGGUCCCCACCGGCAGAUGGAAGUUUGGCCAAGGGAAGACUGUCGCUGUGCCACUCGAGAGCCACACUCAGCUUCGGUAACAGGAUCAAGAUCUACCCCAUCUAUCUGGACGACAUCUUACACCUGAGUCAACGUCAUCUAACACCUGAGACAACCUCCCUAAUUCUGGUUCCAGAGUUGCUGUUUCCUGGUUCCUGUACUUGGAUGGUUCGGUGUUCCUCCUGCCCUCAGUCAUAAGGGCUGCGCAGUCAGUCAUAGGUCCAAGAUCCAAUGAACCUGAGCUGCAAGGACAGAUAUCACCAUCAGCUGCCUAAUCGAGACUAAGGUCAUCCGUCAUCACACAGUAUAUUUUGGAGUGUUUUGUUUAGGAUUUAUUCUGUUGGAAGUUAUUGCCAAACGGGUUGUGAGAGACCAGGCUUCAUGCCUACCUUUCUGGGGCAACCACAAUUGCAUGUUAUCGCUUCCUUAAUACAUCUUCUUCGUGUUUUUGAA